rnacentral:rRNA from 1 species
CGCGCAGGCGGUCGUGCAAGUCGCGUGUGAAAGCCCCCGGCUCAACUGGGGAGGGUCACGCGAUACUGUUCGACUCGAAGGCAGGAGAGGGAAGUGGAAUUCCCGGUGUAGUGGUGAAAUGCGUAGAUAUCGGGAGGAACACCAGUGGCGAAGGCGACUUCCUGGCCUGUUCUUGACGCUGAGGCGCGAAAGCUAGGGGAGCAAACG